CGUGACCGGUGCACGAGCAUCUCUUGUCACUGAUCUGAAAUCCUCGCGCGACGAGAAAAAUCUAGAAACAACUGACACAACAGUCAAACACCGAUUACCAUUAAAGUACAAGUUAAUAUACUUUUUUUAAAGGUAGGAGAAAAUCAGGAAAACCUGGAAGAAACCCACACAGACACUAGGAGAAUAUGUGAAACUCCACACAGACAGUAAUCCGAGCUCUGGAUCAAACCCUCGAGUUGCGAGUCGGCCACGCUCCCUGCUGUGCAACCACUGUCCUUCAGACCCUGUUUACGUACCCAUGCAUACUGCCUUAUUGGACACAGAGGAAGGACAGCGUUUGAUUUUUUGUUCAUCUUGAG